AAAUUACGUGUCCUCUAUUCGCCUACAACUUUGGUCACACUUUCAAAACUCAAAAACUUCGUCGUAUUAUUUCUGCUCGUAAUUUUCAUCGAAUCACCUAUUACAAAUAGCACAACAGGCUCGUGCCUGCCUUUUGUAAUUCAAUAAUGAUUACACGCUUUGGUCACACUCUAUUUUGGAAUUGUGCCCACAGGAAAAUAUCCCGCAGAAGCUUCGACUACGUGUCAUGUGCGAAAAAACGGAAACACGUGCACAUCUCUAAGACAAAAUGGCAGCCAGAUAAUAUUACAUCGUAAGUACAAGGUCAGAGCACAGAAAAAGUGGAUUUAAAAAAACUGAACUUCGAUUUGAAAUAAAUCAAGUGCUUAAAACGACAUUCCACAAGGAAAUUAGUUGCGGAGCAAUUGUAAGAUUCCUACAAUAUUACCAUAUUGUAGGAGCAAGACGAAGAGCUUAGGCAUAAAAUAAUAAGAAAAAAUUACAUAUUCUAAUUGAACAAGCAAAAUGAGUCGUUAUCGAAAUCGAAAGCAGACCCGAUUGAGAAAAAGUACGCUAAAAAUAUAUAUGAAC